rnacentral:rRNA from 1 species
UACGUAGGGUGCGAGCGUUAAUCGGAAUUACUGGGCGUAAAGGGCGCGUAGGCGGACAGUUUAGUCAGAGGUGAAGGCCCAGGGCUCAACCUUGGAAUUGCCUUUGAUACUGGCUGUCUUGAGUUCGGGAGAGGUGAGUGGAAUGCCGAGUGUAGAGGUGAAAUUCGUAGAUAUUCGGCGGAACACCAGUGGCGAAGGCGACUCACUGGCCCGAUACUGACGCUGAGGCGCGAAAGCGUGGGGAGCAAACAGG